rnacentral:rRNA from 1 species
AGUGAACGCUGGCGGUAGGCCUAACACAUGCAAGUCGAACGGCAGCACAGAGGAGCUUGCUCCUUGGGUGGCGAGUGACGGACGGGUGAGGAAUACAUCGGAAUCUACUCUGUCGUGGGGGAUAACGUAGGGAAACUUACGCUAAUACCGCAUACGACCUACGGGUGAAAGCAGGGGAUCUUCGGACCUUGCGCGAUUGAAUGAGCCGAUGUCGGAUUAGCUAGUUGGCGGGGUAAAGGCCCACCAAGGCGACGAUCCGUAGCUGGUCUGAGAGGAUGAUCAGACACACUGGAACUGUGACACGGUCCAGACUCCUACGGGAGGCAGCAGUGGGGAAUAUUGGACAAUGGGCGCAAGCCUGAUCCAGCCAUACCGCGUGGGUGAAGAAGGCCUUCGAGUUGUAAAGCCCUUUUGUUGGGAAAGAAAUCCAUCUGGUUAAUACCCGGGUGGGAUGACGGUACCCAAAGAAUAAGCACCGGCUAACUUCGUGCCAGCCGCCGCAGUAA